GUACAUAAGUGCUUGCGCACGACAAUAAUUUCAUUACAUUCGAGUGUGUGUAAAUCCUCUGCCCGCCGAAGCAAGCAAGAGGCCAAAGGUUCACAGGGGACUGGAUGAAAGUCACCAGCGUGCACUUGCCAGAGCUGGCCAGCACUGAAGGCAACGAUUCACAAUCAAUAAUGAUCCUUCCGCAGGUUCACCUACGGAAA
rnacentral:misc_RNA from 1 species